GCUUAGCCCUAAACUUAGAUAGUUAAUUUUAACAAAACUAUCCGCCAGAGAACUACUAGCAACAGCUUAAAACUCAAAGGACUUGGCGGUGCUUUACAUCCCUCUAGAGGAGCCUGUUCUAUAAUCGAUAAACCCCGAUAUACCUCACCAUCUCUUGCUAAUUCAGCCUAUAUACCGCCAUCUUCAGCAAACCCUAAAAAGGAAAAAAAGUAAGCACAAGUAUCUUAACACAAAAAAGUUAGGUCAAGGUGUAGCCCAUGAGAUGGGAAGCAAUGGGCUACAUUUUCUAAAACUAGAACAUCCACGAAAAUCCUUAUGAAACUAAGUAUUAAAGGAGGAUUUAGUAGUAAAUUUGAGAAUAGAGAGCUCAAUU
rnacentral:rRNA from 1 species